CGGGGUGGAGUAAUGUCUGGGAAACUGCCUGAUGGAGGGGGGUAACUACUGGAAACGGUAGCUAAUACCGCAUAACGUCUUCGGACCAAAGUGGGGGGACUCGGGGCCUCACGCCAUCGGAUGUGCCCAGAUGGGAUUAGCUAGUAGGUGGGGUAAUGGCUCACCUAGGCGACGAUCCCUAGCUGGUCUGAGAGGAUGACCAGCCACACUGGAACUGAGACACGGUCCAG
rnacentral:rRNA from 1 species